CGAUAAAAAAAGCGGCAGAUUGGCUUUGCGAGAUACCGAGUACACUCCCUUUUUUAUAAGACACCUAUAUGAGCUGUAUAGUCACGAAGCACUGCUGAAGAUUGAAGAAAGAAGACUUAGUAAAAAAAGUCAGGUUAGAUUAAUCUAAUCUGACUAUGGAUUCGGAUAUAAAUUUUAGAUAUGCAACUUUGCAUUGGCAGUUUUAUAUAGAUGACUGCAGUGUACGGUUGUGUAUAGGUUGGUCUAUCCCCAAGAAAAGUUUUUAAUCGGUAUGCCAACUGUCCUAUCCGGUCAUAAUAACUUAAAUUUUUGAUUUUUUUCAAUUUAAAAUAUUUGGUUAAUGUUUGCUCUUUGUUGGAUGCCCAGUACAUAUUUUUUUAUAGACAACAAUACUGAGUAUGUGGUUCCGAUGUCGCCACACUGCUAUACUAUUACAAUAAUAUGGACUUUGAACAGUAUUCGAUGAUGGAAGCCCAAAUUAUUUGUUACACGUCAUACUUACAUGCAAACAAUAAGUCAACAUACGGAUUAUCAGAUCGUAUAAUGUUAUUAAUAUUUUGUUAUAUAUUAAUUGCGCUAGGCCGGGACUAGGUUAGGUACGAAAACGAAAGGUGUAGGAAUUUGUCGUUUACCAGUAGCGCAACCAAGAUUUAUUCAAGGGGGGGGGGUCUGGACCCGGGGUCCACCACUGUCGUGUACCUAUACAGUUCCGGCCUAACGCAGUUUGAAUAGGACUCUCACUUAUACAUACCUAUGUACUGGACGUCCAAUAAAGAGGUAACCAAACGUUAAACAAAUAUAUAAAAACCUUUUUUUUUUCUUUUCUUUUUUUAUUGUUUUACCGAGUCGUAGGUAAAACGAUAAAAAAAGCGGCAGAUUGGCUUUGCGAGAUACCGAGUAUACUCCCUUUUUUAAGACACCUAUAUGAGCUGUAUAGUCACGAAGCACUGCUGAAGAUUGAAGAAAGAAGACUUAGUAAAAAAAGUCAGAUUAGAUAAAUCUAAUCUGACUAUGGAUUCGGAUAUAAAUUUUAGAUAUGCAACUUUGCAUUGGCAGUUUUAUAUAGAUGACUGCAGUGUACGGUUGUGUAUAGGUUGGUCUAUCCCCAAGAAAAGUUUUUAAUCGGUAUGCCAACUGUCCUAUCCGGUCAUAAUAACUUAAAUUUUUCAUUUUUUUCAAUUUAAAAUAUUUGGUUAAUGUUUGCUCUUUGUUGGAUGCCCAGUACAUAUUUUUUUAUAGACAAGAAUACUGAGUAUGUGGUUCCGAUGUCGCCACACUGCUAUACUAUUACAAUAAUAUGGACUUCGAACAGUAUUCAAUGAUGGAAGCCCAAAUUACUUCCGCAUGGUGUUUCAUGAUGAUGGUAUAAUUGAACGCACCUAUAGGAAGCAACAAGCCCGGAUUAAGAGGGAGAGGGCACUUCCCCGGGGCCCACGUGUGUAAAGAGCCUAUAGUUUUCUCUGCUUAUAAUUAGAUUAAAUAAUAAUUUUUACUUUCUAACCACGUAUCUACCCAGGCUCCUGAAGGUCUUAAUCCGGGCUUCCGAAGCAAGCGAACAAGUGCCGAUAUUCGCGGAGUAGAAGUUGGAAGUCCUUUGGGCUUCCGGUAAAUGAUUUAAUAACACUGAUGUUUCAAUUUACAUACGAGUAAAUGUUUGUUUGUUUUUUUUGUUUUUGAUUCUACGGUUGCUUUGAAUAUCAUACUUCGUGAAAUGAGACUCACUCACUGCAGUUAUCAGAAUGGACAGCCAGCUGAAUUAGAAAAAAAAUGUGUAUGAACAAAUAUUAUGUUCUGCGGUCGAUACGAUGAUACCUCUGCAGGCAGUUAUUAUAGGUGAGUGGCUGGCUGCUUUGAUCGCGCGGAACGACAGACAACGACGACAAGGCGGGUAAUGCAUAAUUGAAAUAGGAAAAAUUAUUGAAAUUUCAGUAUCAAAAAUUAAAAAAACAAUAUUGCAAUUAAAUAAUGAAAAUGGAAUUCUUGAUUUAUUAAAUUUGUCAAAUCCACAUUCAAAUGGUGCUGAUUUAUUAUAAAA